GGAGGAAAAGAAACCAACAGGGAUUGCCUCAGUAGCGGCGAGUGAAGCGGCAAAAGCUCAAAUUUGAAAUCUGGCGUCUUUAGCGUCCGAGUUGUAAUUUGAAGAAGGUAUCUUUGGGCCCGGCUCUUGUCUAUGUUCCUUGGAACAGGACGUCACAGAGGGUGAGAAUCCCGUGCGAUGAGAUGACCCGGGUCUGUGUAAAGUUCCUUUGACGAGUCGAGUUGUUUGGGAAUGCAGCUCUAAGUGGGUGGUAAAUUCCAUCUAAAGCUAAAUAUUGGCGAGAGACCGAUAGCGAACAAGUACAGUGAUGGAAAGAUGAAAAGAACUUUGAAAAGAGAGUGAAAAAGUACGUGAAAUUGUUGAAAGGGAAGGGCUUGAGAUCAGACUUGGUAUUUUGCAUGCUGCUCUCUCGGGGGCGGCCGCUGCGGUUUACCGGGCCAGCAUCGGUUUGGAGCGGCAGGAUAAUGGCGGAGGAAUGUGGCACGGCUUCUGCUGUGUGUUAUAGCCUCUGACGAUACUGCCAGCCUAGACCGAGGACUGCGGUUUUUUUACCUAGGAUGUUGGCAUAAUGAUCUUAAGUCGCCCGUCUUG
rnacentral:rRNA from 1 species